GGCUUGUGGCUCAGGUGUAGAGCGCUUGCCUAGCAUGCAUGAGGCCCUGGGUUCGAUCCUCAACACCA
rnacentral:tRNA from 1 species